rnacentral:rRNA from 3 species
GAAUUUUAUAUAAUUUUAUUUAAUUAAAUUAUUUAGUUAAAUAUAAUAAAAUUAUAUUUUAUUGGGAGGAUAGUUAAAUAUAUUUAACUUUAAUUAAAAUUUAAAAGAUAAAUUAAUAAAUUAUUUGGGAAUGGUUUAUAAAUUAAAUAAGAAUUAAUUACCUUAGGGAUAACAGCGUAAUAUUUUUGGUGAGUUCAUAUCAAUAAAAAUGUUUGC